rnacentral:rRNA from 1 species
UGGGGAAUAUUGGACAAUGGGCGCAAGCCUGAUCCAGCCAUGCCGCGUGAAGGAUGAAGUAUUUCGGUAUGUAAACUUCGAAAGAAUAGGAAGAAUAAAUGACGGUACUAUUUAUAAGGUCCGGCUAACUACGUGCCAGCAGCCGCGGUAAUACGUAGGGACCAAGCGUUGUUCGGAUUUACUGGGCGUAAAGGGCGCGUAGGCGGCAAUUCAAGUCAUCUGUGAAAUCUCCGGGCUUAACUCGGAACGGUCAGAUGAUACUGCUUUGCUAGAGUGCAGAAGGGGCAAUCGGAAUUCUUGGUGUAGCGGUGAAAUGCGUAGAGAUGUGGAGGAACACCAAUGGCGAAGGCAGCCUCCUGGGCCAAUACUGACGCUCAUGCACGAAAGCGUGGGGAGCAAACAGGAUUAGAUACCCCCGUAGUCCCUGAGCGGGCUGGCAAGGCGCAU